rnacentral:rRNA from 1 species
CAAUAGUGUAUACUAGUGUUGUUGCGGUUAAAACGUUCGUAGUCGAAUUAGAUGCUUACAGACCUUCACAGAAGGGUCUACUGCUACUGCCUCUAGUCACUGAGAAGUUGCUUAUUUCGAUGUGAACUAAGAGAGCAAGUUACCAUGACAAAAUUUUGGUGUUCAUAGCAAGCACAGAGUGCCCUGAAUACAACAGCAUGGGAUAACACUGAGAGGACUUCGACCUGUUAUGCGUCGGCAGCCAGGAUUGAAGGAAUGAUUAACAGGAGCAGUCGGGGGUAGUCGUAUUCCAUUGCUAGAGGUGAAAUUCUUUGACCAAUGGAGGACGAACAACAGCGAAAGCAUCUACCAAGUAUGUUUCCAUUGA